rnacentral:rRNA from 1 species
GACGAACGCUGGCGGCGCGCCUAACACAUGCAAGUCGAGCGAUGAACAUUGAAUGAUCCCUUCGGGGUGAUUUCGAUCGGAUUAGCGGCGAACGGGUGAGUAACGCGUGAGGAACCUGCCUCUUACAACGGGAUAGCCUCGGGAAACCGGGAUUAAUACCGUAUAAGACUCCGACAUCUCCUGAUGAUGAAGUCAAAGCGUUAGCGGUAAGAGAUGGCCUCGCGUCUGAUUAGCUUGUUGGCGGGGUAACGGCCCACCAAGGCGACGAUCAGUAACCGGCCUGGGAGGGUGAAGGGGCACAUUGGAACUGAGACACGGUCCAAACUCCUACGGGAGGCAGCAGUGGGGAAUCUUGCACAAUGGGGGCAACCCGGAUGCAGCGACGCGGCGUGAGCGAUGAAGGUUUUCGAAUCGUAAAGCUCUGUCCUAUGGGAAGAUAAUGACGGUACCAUGGGAGGAAGCCCCGGCUAACUACGUGCCAGCAGCCGCCGCGG